GGGGCUGACCGGUUUUGACAGGAUGUUUGGGGGUGUAUGCCAGCAUGCAGGCUCGUGGGAUGAGAGCCUUGAAAGAUAGUCCUACCAAUUUAAGUGGCGAGAAUAACUACGCCAUGGCUGCUUAAUCUAAACUGAGUUUAGGUUUGCUUAUCCACUGAUAAGAUCGGUGGAGGCCAUCAUCGCCCGGUGCUCUGUUUUGCGGUGCCGGAUCAGCGGUGUCGACAGCAUAAACUGGAUUGUGCUAUGGUUACGUAGUGCAAUUAAGACAACAGUAACUAAGGAAGUGUUUGGCCGUUGCCUGCCUUGCGCUUCUCUACAAUCAAAGUGCAACUAAGCAUGUAGAACGUACACGUUCAUCUUCUCUGGACCAGGGUUCGAUUCCCUGCAGCUCCACCA
rnacentral:tmRNA from 1 species